AUUGAACGCUGGCGGCAGGCCUAACACAUGCAAGUCGAGCGGCAGCGGGAAAGUAGCUUGCUACUUUUGCCGGCGAGCGGCGGACGGGUGAGUAAUGCCUGGGAAAUUGCCCAGUCGAGGGGGAUAACAGUUGGAAACGACUGCUAAUACCGCAUACGCCCUACGGGGGAAAGCAGGGGACCUUCGGGCCUUGCGCGAUUGGAUAUGCCCAGGUGGGAUUAGCUAGUUGGUGAGGUAAUGGCUCACCAAGGCGACGAUCCCUAGCUGGUCUGAGAGGAUGAUCAGCCACACUGGAACUGAGACACGGUCCAGACUCCUACGGGAGGCAGCAGUGGGGAAUAUUGCACAAUGGGGGAAACCCUGAUGCAGCCAUGCCGCGUGUGUGAAGAAGGCCUUCGGGUUGUAAAGCACUUUCAGCGAGGAGGAAAGGUCAGUAGCUAAUAUUUGCUGGCUGUGACGUUACUCGCAGAAGAAGCACCGGCUAACUCCGUGCCAGCAGCCGCAGUAAUAC
rnacentral:rRNA from 1 species